rnacentral:lncRNA from 1 species
GUCUCUGGCAGAGGUAGUGCAGGAUGUUUUAUGGGGAAAUUUGUGGUUGAAUUUCCUAAUGUCAGACUAAAAUGCUUACAGUCAUGCUCCAAAAUUCUUUUUCCUUAAUAAUCUAGUAUUAAUUUUAUUUUGCAGGAAUUCUUUCUUCUACCCAUUGAUGACUGCUUCUUGACCUUUUGGCUAAGAUCAAGUGUAGUAUCUGUUCUACCUAUUGACAUAUAAUCUCAUUCUUUUCUGGUACUGAGUUCCAAGUUUUCAGACCAUCUUAUAAAGUAAGACUUCUGCAAAGGCACACUGAUUUCUUGAAAAGAAGAGGGAAGAAGAGUGAAUGAUAAUCCCCUUUCCCAUCCAUCCACUCAAGAAUCGCUGCUCCAAUGCAAUUGUUUGACUGGAGGUGGCCGAAACCAGGGAAGACUAAAAGUGGAUAAGCAGAAAACACUGUACAAUGAAAGAAGUGUUAUUAUCAACCACAGCUUUUGCCAUGCAAGGACUCAAAUC